rnacentral:lncRNA from 1 species
GCAUUUAUGAUGUUUAAGAAUUUUAAAAACAUGGUAGAAAAAGAAACAAGGAAUAAUAUAUGUUUUUUACGCACUGAUCAAUAUGGAGAGUUCAUGUCAACAAAAUUCAACACUUAUUGUCAUGCAAAUGGAAUCAAGAGGCAACUCACUGCAACUUUUUUCUCUACAAUGAAAAUAGAGUUGUAGAGAGAACUAAUCGAACUCUUUUGAACAUGGUUCGGUGAGAGAACUAAUCGAACUCUUUUGAACACAGUUCGGUGCAUGCUAACUGAAAAAGAAGUUCCGAAGGAGUUUUGGCCAGUAGUUGUAAAUUGGGCAGUGCAUGUUCUCAACAAGUGCCCAACCUUAGCAAUGAAAGAAAAAACCCUAGAAGAAGCAUGGAAAGGAGUCAAGCCUUCAGUGGAUUACUUCAAAGUGUUUGGGUGCAUAAGGCAUGUGUACGUACCUGGAGAAAAAAGAAAGAAACUUGAUGAUAAGAGUUUCAUGUGCAUAUUCCUAGGGGUUAGUGAAGAAUCCAAAGCUUUUCAAAUGUAUGAUCAGGUCUCCAAAAAGAUUGUCAUAAGCCAAUAUGUAAUUUUUGAAGAAUAAGGAAAAUUGAGUUGGAAAAGGAAUGGUGAGGAAACUUACAUCACUGAUCUUAAAUGGAAAGAUGAAGGAAAAAAAUACAGAAUUAGAGUUGGAGGAAAAUGAAGAGAGAGAAGAAGAAAAUGAAAGUGAGUAUUCGAACUCACCUACAUCAACCAAUGUCACAAGUCCAACUUUAGGGAGGAAAAGGAUUGAGCCGGUAUGGAUGAAUGAUUAUGUAAGUGGUGAAGGAUUGUCUGAGGAAGAAGAUGAAGUACACAAAAACUUGCUAUGGAGAUACAAUAACUCUCUAUGUUUGUUGCAAAUGAUCCAACAACCUUUGAGAAGGUUGUGAAAAGUUCAACUUGGAGAGAAGCUAUGGACUGAGAAAUUGAAGCUAUUGAGAAGAAUGGAACAUAGAAACUAACUAACUUGUCGAUAGGAGCAAAAAAGGCGGGUGUUAAAUGGGUU